UUUCCGUAGGUGAACCUGCGGAAGGAUCAUUAUUGUAUAAACGAGGAAAAAGGACUGUGGAUGUUACGAAUGGUCGUGCAGGCCCGAGUGGAGUCAGACAGAUUCAUCUGACCCCUAUGUGCAGUACCGCGUGGGUCCCCGUUUGGGUUGUUCGGAGGGGGGCUUACGGUUUCACACAAGCUUUGUAUUAAGUGUAGAAAGUAUUUUUUGUUUUUGCGAUCACGCAAUCAAUACAACUUUCAACAACGGAUCUCUUGGCUCUCGCAUAGAUGAAGAACG
rnacentral:misc_RNA from 1 species